UUCUGUCUUGAAUAGGAGUCAACUUGUCCUUCUCGUCCUUGACCAUUGUGAUUCCACCUUUCUUCGGGACCGCAUGCAUAGGGCCCACCCAAAUGCUGUCAGAAUUGUGGUUUAUAAUACCUGUUUGUAGCAGCUUGGUGUCCCUUUUCUUUACAACCCCCAUCAGUUGAGAAUUCAGUCUUCCUUGAGGUUGUCUCAUUGGUUUA
rnacentral:lncRNA from 1 species